AAGACUAUAGACCUGCGGAGUACCUGCGGAAGGAUCAUUAACAAAUUUAAAAAGAAAAUUGGGAUUGCCUUUCGGGGCUCCUGGUUUUUUUCUUUUUAAAAUUUUUGGUUAGGUUGUAGAGGGGGUUUUCCUCCUCUGCACCUAACAAUCAUCCUCUGUGAACAGUUUAUAAUUUUACCUUGAGUUAAGAAUUUAUUUUCUUUUCUCAAGGGAAACCACUCACUCUUUAAAAUAUUAAAG
rnacentral:misc_RNA from 1 species